GGCUGAAAUUCGCCUUCAUGAAGCUGGAAUUGCUAGUAAUGGCAGGUCAGCAUACUGCCGUGAAUACGUUCCCGGGCCCUUGUACACACCGCCCGUCACACCAUGAGAGUUGGGAAUACCCGAAGCCUGUGAGCUAACUUAUAGAGGCAGCAGUCGAAGGUAGAAUCAAUGAUUGGGGUGAAGUCGUAACAAGGUAUC
rnacentral:rRNA from 1 species